rnacentral:rRNA from 1 species
UACGUAGGGUGCAAGCGUUAUUCGGAAUUAUUGGGCGUAAAGCGUGCGUAGGCGGUUUGGUAAGUCAGAUGUGAAAUCCCCGGGCUUAACCUGGGAAUUGCAUUUGUGACUGCCCGGCUAGAGUGUGUCAGAGGGGGGUAGAAUUCCACGUGUAGCAGUGAAAUGCGUAGAGAUGUGGAGGAAUACCGAUGGCGAAGGCAGCCCCCUGGGAUAACACUGACGCUCAUGCACGAAAGCGUGGGGAGCAAACAGG